rnacentral:lncRNA from 10 species
CCACAACAACCCUGUUAAGGCAGGACUGAGAGCCCAGACUCGUUAGGAAUGAAGGUUUGGGUCACCCCACCUGGCAAGGAACCAUGACCGGCUCAGUGAUGAAGCAACUGCCAUUGUGGAGAGGCCCAUGGGGCCAGGAGCUGAGGAGCUGAGGUCCUCCAGUCCAACAGUCUGCAGGGAGCUGAAUUCUGCCAGAACCAUGUGAGUUAGGAAGCAGAUCCUUCCCCGGUGGUGCUUUCAGGCUCUGAGGACCGGCGGCUGAGAUUAAACAACUUAUUACACAAAGAACCAUUUAAUUGCAAGCACAAUCACGCUUAGUGGAGAAGGAGAGAACGGAGCACGGUUUAAGAUGAUCUCCUCACCAGUUCUGCAAGGUAGGAUUCAUUGCUAUAUUACAGAGGAGGCUCAGAGAGGUGCAGUGACUCCCCUAAUAUCACACAGCAAGAGAAGGUGGGGCUCAGAUAGGGACCCGGGUCGUCCAGGCCCCAGGAGGCUGGGAAGGUGCAGGGUCCCCAAUAGACCCACUGCCAGUUUGCAGAAAUAGCCUCCAACCCCCUCCCUCACAAGGGUCCAGGGAGCAGCUCUUUCCCCAAAGGCUGGUUUCAGCAGGUUGCAACCACUGCUAGGGGUUAUAGGGGUUACACCAGGCCCCCUGCAAGAGCUGCAGACUCUCUUGUCUAAAACGACAAGCAGACAGAACGGAGUCCUCAGACACUGUCCCCGAGAGACCACCUUCCUCUGCCUCUGCUCACCUCCCUUUUCAGCAAACUAGCCCACCAUCCUUCAUAACAGAAGAGGGGCCUGCAGUAAAACAUAGCAUGCCUGGGCCCCCUACAAAUUGCCAUCUCCUCCCUGGCCUCAGUUUCCCUGCCUGUCUAUAUAAUGAGAGGUCAGACCGGCUGGUCUAAAGGUCAAGGUUGAUCGAAGCACUCUAACUCUCCCCACCCACCUCCCUUCAUCAGCCAGUGCAGAGACACACACGCCCCUCCAUGGUGCUGGAUGUCCUCAGUUUUCCCAAAAUGACCUGGCUUUGAAAGACCAAGGCCAAAAUGGUUUGGCGGUGACUGUGGAGGCCAGCAGGACUCCCUGGCCACACGGUGACUCAAAGAGGCAGCCGGCAGGACAGCCCUGUCUCCCCUUGGGACAGUGAUGCAAUCCAUGGGCAGCUGGGAGGGCUCCGCGGGCCAGACUGCUGGGCAGGCCCCCUCGCUUUCUGAGUUUCGGGCCCUCACUGUAACCUGCAGACCCUCCUUGAGCUGGAAUCCAAAGCCCUCCUAUGUGUGAGUCCUGCACUUCUCUAAAAGUGGUGGAAAAGACAGGCCAGGUUCGAGUCCAGCUCCCAACCCACCACUGCUGUUUUCAAAGCCUUGUGCCCUUGGGCAGGUCACCUCACUCACCCACUGCUGUCCUGUCUCAUUCCCAUGUGGAUGUCGGUGACACCUGCCUCCCAGGUGGUGGCAGGUAAGACGAGAUGAUCCCGUCAGCAGAGGGCAGAGUGCCUCGGGGGAAUUGGUGCUCACAGAGUUAGCCCUGAUGGAGAUGGCUGCCCAGGCUGGACCUUGUCAGCCUCCCCAGAUGAUGGAUGAAUAAUGGAUGGGCAGGCCGGGCGCAGUGGCUCACUCCUGUAAUCCCAGCACUUUGGGAGGCUGAGGCGGGUGGAUCACCUGAGGUCAGGAGUUCGAGACCAGCCUGACCAACAUGCUGAAACCCUGUAUCUACUAAAUACAAAAAAUUAGCUGGGUGUGGUGGUGUGUGACUGUAAUCCCAGCUACUUGGGAGGCUGAGGCAGGAGAAUCGCUUGAACCUGGGAGGCGGAGGUUACAGUGAGCUGAGAUAGCACCAUUGAACUCCAGCCUGGGCAACAAAAGCGAAACUCUGAAAAGAAAGAAAGAAGGAAAGAAAGAAAGAGAGAGAGAGGAAAGAAAGAAAGAGAGAGAGAGGAAAGAAAGAAAGAGAGAGAA